GAUUCAGUAGCUCAGCAGGUAGAGCACAUCCCUUUUAAGGAUGGGGUCCUGGGUUCGAAUCCCAGCUGAAUCACCA
rnacentral:tRNA from 1 species